rnacentral:rRNA from 1 species
UACGGAGGAUCCAAGCGUUAUCCGGAUUCAUUGGGUUUAAAGGGUGCGUAGGCGGAAUGAUAAGUCAGUGGUGAAAGCCUGCAGCUUAACUGCAGAACUGCCAUUGAUACUGUCAAUCUUGAGUAUAUUUGAUGUGGGCGGAAUGUGUCAUGUAGCGGUGAAAUGCUUAGAUAUGACACAGAACACCGAUUGCGAAGGCAGCUCACAAAAACUAUAACUGACGCUGAGGCACGAAAGCGUGGGUAGUCAAACAUGGA